rnacentral:rRNA from 1 species
CCCUUAGAUGCUCUGGGCUGCACGCGCGCUACAAUGGUGCAUUCAGCGAGUUUAACCUUGCUUGAAAAAGCUGGGUAAUCUUUAAAAUGCAUCUCAGUUGGGAUAGAUGAUUGCAAUUGUUCAUCUUGAACAAGGAAUAUCUAGUAAACGCAAGUCAUCAACUUGCAUUGAUUACGUCCCUGCCCUUUGUACACACCGCCCGUCGCUCCUACCGAUUGAAUAAUCCGGUGAAUUGAGUGGAUUGGAUCACUGCUUCGGCAAGAGACCCAAAAAGCUCUGUGAACCUUAUUAUUUAGAGGAAGGAGAAGUCGUAACA